rnacentral:rRNA from 1 species
AUUGAACGCUGGCGGCAGGCCUAACACAUGUAAGUCGAGCGGAGCGGCGGACGGGUGAGUAAUGCCUAGGAAUCUGCCUGGUAGUGGGGGAUAACGUUCGGUAACGGGCGCUAAUACCGCAUACUCUCAGAUGAGCCUAGGUCGGAUUAGCUUGUUGGUGGGGUAAAGGCCUACAAAGGCGAAGAUCCGUAACUGGACUGAGAGGAUGAUCAGUCACACUGGGACUGAGACACGGUCCAGACUCCUACGGGAGGCAGCAGUGGGGAAUAUUGGACAAUGGGCGAAAGCCUGAUGCAGCCAUGCCGCGUGUGUGAAGAAGGUCUUCGGAUUGUAAAGCACUUUAAGUAGGGAGGCGUUACCAACAGAAUAAGCACCGGCUAACUACGUGCCAGCAGCCGCGGUAAUAC